UACGUAGGGUCCGAGCGUUGUCCGGAAUUAUUGGGCGUAAAGGGCUCGUAGGCGGUUUGUCGCGUCGGGAGUGAAAACGCAGGCCUUAAUUCUGCGCUUGCUUUCGAUACGGGCAGACUAGAGGUAUGCAGGGGAGAACGGAAUUCCUGGUGUAGCGGUGAAAUGCGCAGAUAUCAGGAGGAACACCGGUGGCGAAGGCGGUUCUCUGGGCAUGUCCUGACGCUGAGGAGCGAAAGUGUGGGGAGCGAACAGG
rnacentral:rRNA from 1 species